AAGGCUGUCCGGGCAUGCUGGAAGUUGUAGUUUUGCCACAGCUGGAGACACCCUGGUUGGGAAACACUGGACUAGGACUUGCUGUACCUUACAGAUGGUGAUUAUCCACAUUACAAAUUCCAGGUUCUGGCACCACACCUAUUUUUUUUUUUUUUCAUGCACAAAUAAAAAAGUGAAAGGUCACCUACCGUCAUUUGCUUUCAUCCAUAAAGGUGGGGACUAAAGCGUUCCAAGGAGGGAUAAGUAGCCUGGGUCCUGUAAAAGAUAUCGUGGAGGAGGGAAACAGGGCUUUCCAGGCGGUCAGAUCUUCUGCGAUCAGACACUUAACCUCUAUGUGGCUACAGUUUAAAGGGGUACUGCACUGGAAAAAAAUAAAAUUUAAAAUCAACUGGUGCCAGAAAGUUAAACAGAUUUGUAAAUUACUUCUAUAAAAAAAAACUUAAUCUUUCCAGUACUUAUCAGCUGUUGUAUGAUCCACAGGAAGUUCUUUUCUUCUUGAAUUUCUUUUCUGUCUGACCACAGGGCUCUCUGCUGACACCUCUGUCCUUUUUAGGAACUGUCCAGAGUAGUAACAUAUCCCCAGAGAAAACAUCUCCAUCUCCGGACAGUUCCUGACACGAACAGAGGUGUCAGCAGAGAGCAUUGUGGUCAGACUGGAAAGAAACAAAUUUCUCUGUAGUAUAUCUGUAGCAUACAACAGCUCAGUACUGGAAGGGUUAAGAUUUUUAAAGUAAUUUACAGUAAUUUACAAAACUGUUUACAUUUAUGGCAACAGUUGAUUUGAAAAAAAUAAAUAAAAAUCUCCACCGAAGUUCCCCUUUUAAUUAAUUAAUUUAUUUUUAUAUAAAGUUUGAUGACUAUCCCCUUUUUUAAAGUGUUCCUGUCAUUUAACAAAAGUUUUGACAUGUCACAGACACACGUCAAAUGUUUUGAUGGGUGUUCAGACCCCACCCCCACGAUCAUUUGAAUGAGCAAUCUGUUCUGCUAGACGGCUCCAUUAUAAGUCUGUGGAGCAGGGGUCUCAAACUCAAAUUACCGGGGGCCACUGGAGGUAGCGGGUGGGUGAGGCUGGGCCGCAUGCACCCCUCACUUAUAAUGCCCCCAUCAUGCGCCCCUCACAUAUAAUGCCCCCAUCAUGCGCCCUUCACUUAUAAUGCCCCCAUCAUGCGCCCCUCACUUAUAAUGCCCCCAUCAUGCGCCCCUCACUUAUAAUGCCCCCAUCAUGCGCCCCUCACUUAUAAUGCCCCCAUCAUGCGCCCCUCACUUAUAAUGCCCCCAUCAUGCGCCCCUCACUUAUAAUGCCCCCAUCAUGCGCCCCUUACUUAUAAUGCCCCCAUCAUGCGCCCCUCACAUAUAAUGACCCCAUCAUGCCUCCAGCAUCAUGCCUCCAGCCAGGCCCCAUAUAGAUAUGACCCCCAUCUGGUAGGGCACCCCAGUAGGUACAUAGGCCCCCAUAUAGAUAUGACCCCCAUCUGGUAGGGCACCCCAGUAGGUACAUAGGCCCCCAUAUAGAUAUGACCCCCAUCAGGUAGGGCUCCCAAGUUGGUAUAGAGACCCCAGAUAGAUAUGAUCCCCAUCACUGAUGUGGGUAAUAUCUAUCUGGGGGCCUGUCUACCUACUGGGGAGCCCUACCUGAUGAUCAGGUAGGGGUUUCCAAUAGAUGUACAGGCCCCCAGAUAGAUGUUACCCCUGGCAGGUAGGGCUCCUAUUUAAACAAUUAUGCCCCCUAAGAAGAUAGGUUAGCCCCUGGUGAUAAGCAGGUCCUCCCUUAUUAGGCAAGUAAUUAGGCAAAUUAAAUAGGCACUGUCAGAUACAAAAACUUUUGAUAUGUUGUAAAGCAUGUAUAACCAAUAAGUUUUGCAAUUGCUUUCUUUAGAAAAUUUUCAGUAUUUCAUACAGAAAAGUCCAGUCAAACAACUGCCCCCCCCCGCCUGCUUGGACACAUACUAGUCCUGUUGUGUCCAUGAGUCAUCACCCAUGUCAUGGACACACUUCCUUGAUUGACAGCUGUGAGCGCAGGGCUCAGAGCUGGAGGAAAAAUCCUCCCACUGUCAUCUUGUGUCCCGCUACUGUCCGUAAGGACAAGCUGGGGGUUGUAGUUUUGCUAAUGCUAGGGGAGAUGUGAGCAGACAGCAUACUGAGGGAGGGGGCGGAGACCUGCACAGUGAGGCCACGCCCCCUCCCUUUGAGAGGAAUUCAGACUAGUGAGCUAAAUUGUAAUAAAAAAAUAAAUAAAGGUUCUAGACACAUAAAAAUUAGAUGCACAAGGUCAGGAUUAGGUUCUGAGUGAUAUAUAAAAAAAAAUUAGUUUUUUUUGUUGGAUCUGACGGGUACGCUUUAAGUUUCACAGCUACAGUAUUUACAUCUCCCUGCUGCAGCCUAUAACGAGCCUUCUUUGCAGGGAUACGCGCGUUUGGUGACUUCAUCACAUGCGCCGCUCAGGACUUCAGCAAGCCGGCGUCCUGCGCUGCGAUGACGUCACCAAUCGCGCACAUCCCUCCAGGCUACAUCUCCCUGCUGUUCUAGGCUGCAGCAGGGAGAUAUAGGUAGAGUAGCAGUGUGUGCUGACAUAUGUGAAGUUUUCCAGCAUUUAGCGCUGCUUGCCCGAAGCAGGGCUAAAUGCCUGAAGAAAUCACCUGCCCGGCGCCCGGGCUGCAAAAUUUAGUUGCAGGCCGGGAGUUUGAGACCCCUGCUGUGUAACCAGGACAGAGAUAACAGCAAGCCAGUGAAGCACAGGGGUGUAUGCUUCUCCCCGCUCAUUCUAAUGAUCUCUAAGGGUCUGAACCCCCACUGAUCGAAUCCUUUGACAUGUCAAAAGUUUUUUUUUUUUUUUUUUGACAGGGACACUUUUCGAGUCUUUAUUUUAUGUCUCUGUCUAUGCAGGGGAUUUGGAGCUUUGUCAGAAAAAAUUAAGCUCUGACUGCUAUGAAGAUCUAUUAUAUUUGAUGCGCAGGAUUUGAAGCUGCAGAUUUCAAUGCAAACUAAAUAACUGAGCACCGCUUCAAAUCUGCAGCAUAAAAUCUUCACAUCAAAUAUGCGCAGGAUACUGUACGUGUGAAUAGACCCUAAAGGUGGACAGUCAUUUUAAGGUGCAUUUAAAAAAAGGUAUUAGUUGCAGAUGACAUGUUGAUACAAUGUUAGAUCAAUCUCUAAUUCGUAGGGCUCUGACUAUCCCUAGAAUAAGGGAGCGGCAAAGUCUAUCCCAGUCUUUUCCAAACUAUAUAUCUCCAGCUGUUGCAAAACUACAACUCCCAGCAUGCCCGGACAGCCUUUGGCUGUCCGGGCAUGUUGGGAGUUGUAGUUUUGCAACAGCUGAAGGCACCCUGGUUGGGAAGCACUGCUAUAGCCCUUGCAGAGGCUGCUACCUCACCGAUCCAUCUCAUAGCCCUGCAUAGACGUUUGGGAAAGCUGGAUGACAAGCUCUGGGAUAAUUAUAACCACAGCCAACUCAUUUGUCACCCAACUUUUCCAGACAGAUGAAAAAUUCUAUUUUUAUUUAUCUCUUGCCCUGUCUAUGGCAGCUAUUCCAGAUCCACUUUUCUAUGCGUCCCGAUGAUGCCAGUAAUGUCCAGCAGCAGCCGCCGCUCACCACAGCACGUCUGCUAAGGUGGCCUCCAAAACUGAUCCUGACUAGAUGAAGACAGAAAAACUCUCUCUGGGGAAGUACUUUCAUAACCUAGCCCGUAAAAGUAAAUUCCAGAUGUGAUGCCAUGGACACUUUUCAAUUGAGAGUUGAGGAAGAUCUUAAGAAUUUAAACUCCCAAAACCCUCUGAAAUAUAAUCUCAAUCGGGCACAAAGACAAGCCCUCCAUGAAUUAACUAACAACACCAACAUCGAAAUAUGUCAUGCUAAUAAGGGAGGAGCCGUGGUUAUAUUAGAUAAAAAAUUGUAUGAAAAACUAAUUCUGG